rnacentral:rRNA from 1 species
AUUGAACGCUGGCGGCAGGCCUAACACAUGCAAGUCGAACGAGUGGCGGACGGGUGAGUAAUGUCUGGGAAACUGCCCGAUGGAGGGGGGUAACUACUGGAAACGGUAGCUAAUACCGCAUCCCAUCGGAUGUGCCCAGAUGGGAUUAGCUAGUCGGUGUGGUAACGGCUCACCUAGGCGACGAUCCCUAGCUGGUCUGAGAGGAUGACCGACCACACUGGAACUGAGACACGGUCCAAACUCCUACGGGAUGCAGCAGUGGGGAAUAUUGCACAAGAGGCACAAGCCUGAUGAAGCCAUGCCGCGUGUAUGAAGAAGGCCUUCGGGUUGUAAAGUACUGUCAGCGAGGAGGCGUUACUCGCAGAAGAAGCACCGGCUAACUCCGUGACAGCAGCCGCGGUAAUAC